GUGUCACCUCGCAACCGUAUGUCAACCACAUUUGAUUGAAACGGUUUGUAAUCAAUGAAAAAUUGACAUUUAAUGAUUAAAUAGUGAAUCUGUUCGAGUGACAGCGUGAUAUUACAAAAAAGAAAUCAACGAAUAACAGUUACUUUAUGAUAAGCACGAUAUUUAUUUUAAUAUAAAGUUUGUCGUACAAUAAUUUCAUCUAUUCCCACACGUGGUUUCUUAACCUAUCAAACUACUCACGAAGGGAUUCCAAACAACGUAUAGGCCCUUCAGUUUCGUACUGUUCCGGUCUCCCAACAAAUUAGAAUAAAAUACUACUCAAAGAAAUCUAGUACUCACAUAUUUUCGUAUCCUGUACCAGUUGAAUUUUGCGAAAAUACAUUGAUGUCAUGAUGACAUUGUCAUCACAACCUCGGAAGAACGGUAAUCAUCGCGAUAGGUAAGUUUCUACGGAUCUACGCGACGAAAAAUACCUCCCUGGCGCCAUCUCACGCAACGAAGUUUAAGCAGAACGACGAAAUCUUCUUUACCAGUGUUGCGGGUUCAGCCGGAAACUCAUAAAGCAGGAGAAAGAUUCGCAGCAAAGAAAUUCACAUCUGUAUUUGCGUACCCGCGUCACCGCGCUCGUGUCGGGAUAAAAAUCUCUCAAAGUCUUACGGGAUCAGGAAAAUGCACAUUCCGUGACAUUUCCUCAAUCUCCCGAGAACCGGGACGUUCGCGAUCGGUUCGCCGUGGCGAAGAUCCGCCGGAGGAUGUUCCGCCGGUCGGCGAGUUUUCCGCGGAAAUGAAAUAAAAAUGACGACGAAAUGCUCUCUUCCGAACAGGGGGGACGGAAGAUUCACUUAGGAAGGAACGAUCAUAUUCAGCACAAGUUAUCCUUCGCGAUACAUCCAUGGAGAACAAAAUGGAGUCAACCUCGCGGCCCCCUGCUCAAUGUUAAUGCUGGUACAGGGUAGAGGGAAUUGCUGGAGCCAUGGGGGCGGCCGUGUGUGCCAUUCAAAGUCGAUGAGUAGGCUGGUUAAUUGGGAGAACAACAUUUUAAGCGUAGCUAUGACGGGUGGCUUGGAGAAACGUCAGUCGCAUCGCGCUCACAACUGUAUCGUAUUUUCAUUAUCAUCAAAUUGGACACGUAGUACAGCCACGAAUUUUAACAAUGGCAGCCUCACCAUACUUGCCUACGUACGCCCGACACCCUUUAUACGGUUCCCCUUGCGGAAACGCGACGUCUCCAUGGUUACAACAUUGAAACCCCGCUAGGGGAUGACAAAAUGGAGAGGCGCAUUACUCGGUCUGACAAAGGCGAAGUAGAAUCGAAGAACUCCUUCGACUACGUACUUGCACUUGUAUUUGAAAAGUCGAGACGCGUAUACAACCCGGUUAGAGAGACUGGGAAAACCAGCCAGGAGAGGCCAAGUUCCAACAACUAGCCCUCUCUUCGUUGUUCAAUUCGUCCGGAACAAAUAGUUGAAGCACCAUUCAACUCCAUACUACGACGGUAGACAGUUUCCUCUCGUGUUAUUUCGAAUUUCGAUACGACGACCUGCCAUUCGUUGCCCAAAAACGGAGUAGAGAAAAAAAAGAAGUGAAACAAUGUCUACGGCUGCUCUAUAAACAAAGGAGGAUCGUCGAGCAAAAUGGCGACUCGAUGCACAGGCGUCUAAUCCCGGAUGAGACGACGGAUGUGACGGUGGCGGGUGGAGGAUGACGGUGACGAAGGUGGAAGCGGGAGGCGACGCAGACACAUCUCUCGGAUUACGUCUUAACAAGCUCCACGACGUUCAUUUGUCUUAUCCGCUCUCGCUAAUGCGACAGCAGCUGUUGAAAUGAUUAAUUCACCGCGAGGAUGCUCCUACGCCUUGUUCAGCGGUGCGCGGUCGCGCUUGUGCGCGCGCGCGUGCACGACCACACACCAACCUUCCAUUGUGAUCGUGGUCUCGAUUAAUCAACUCCCUUAUCGUUUCUAUAAAUACCGUCAAAUGUUUAAUUAAACGUCGCCCGCUAUGGCAUUCGUUCGACGCGAACUUGUCGCGCCUUGUUGUCUCGCGAGCGUCGACUUAACUCAUUUUUUUCUUGAGCUAUGCCAGUGCCUCGGAUAUUGAUAAAAUUGUAAUGAAAAAAUCCGACGAGAAGUUAUCUACUUCAGCUUCAUUUAUUUAUAAUUAACUUAUAAGUAUCUCCUGGUGUACCCAAACUUGGUACUCCAAAAACCACCUGUCCGCUAUCGAUCAAUUUUUAAUUCAUUCCUCGUAAUUUCGCAUCAGGCAUCGCGAGAACGAUAAUGUUUCCUAACGCUGUGUCAGGAACAAAGCCAGAGGAAACCUUACGAGAACCCUUUACGCUUAGUCAAAACAACGUUCAUGGCUCAGCACGAGAUCUGAUUGGAUUAACUUUCGAUUUCCAUUAACCACCUGUCAUCGACGGGGAGCAGGAUCGGUAAUUGUCACCGAUCGAUGACUAAUCCGCUCUGGAAUCGUUAGUAUUCGCUGCGCAGUGGCGCUAACUGACUCGAUUAUAGCCCCGAGCCCGCGAGAACAAAGGACCACCAACGCGACAAUUGAACUUCAUCGUGCUGAUAUAAAGUUACAAAUCUGAAGGGAGAAAAUGAGAGGCGAAUAUUAAGUCGGCGUACAAAAUGGCCGUCACGAGGCGCGAAAAAAAAUAGGGAUGCGAUCGUUCCUCUUGCUUCCAUGCACCACAUGCUGGUUCACGGAGUACGGUGCGCGUGGGGCAAGAGUGGUAACGCGUUGCGCAGACGCCAAGUUGUACGGAUCGAAGCUCCGCCCGGAGACUGCCUUUGUUUAAUCCACUGCACCUACGCCCACGACAUGUGGCCAACAAACUACGAAUUGUCUCACGGCGGGAUCCUAAUCUUGCGGUGCUAUAUGCUACAGAUGACAGAAAGCACGCUGCGAGGAGGAACUCGAUGACGCGAAGUAUUCCUGAAAGUCUGAAGGUACUUUUGGCUUGAGAACUUAAACCAAUGGCAAGCGAUGCCACUGCAAACGUGGAAAUUAAGAGACCAACGAUUAUUAGGAUAAAAAUUAAAAUAGCAAAUUGUAUAAUGUGUAUUCAGAAUGUUUCGUUUGUAUUUGAUAUAUACAGUUAUGGAAGAUAUCUGACAAUAGGUGUAUGAAUACAGUAUAUAUAUGCUGAAAUAUAUGUUAUGAAAUAUUGUAUGAUAUCUGGUAGCGUGGCCGAGCGGUCUAAGGCGCUGGUUUAAGGCACCAGUCUCUUCGGGGGCGUGGGUUCGAAUCCCACCGCUGCCAAUUUUUUUUGUACCCUCAAAUUGUUAUGUGUUUAAAUCAAAGUGAUGUCUAAUCUAUUUUUAACAUUGAACAUUACAGCAAUUGUAUAAUAUACUAAUACUCAAUAAUGGUAGAUCAAUUACAUGUACGACUGGAGCACUAAGUGACAUUACUUAAACUUUAUAAUAAGUUAUCAAUACA